UACAGAGGGGGCAAGCGUUGUUCGGAAUUACUGGGCGUAAAGGGCGCGUAGGCGGCCUGUUAAGUCGAACGUGAAAUCCCCGGGCUCAACCCGGGAACUGCGUCCGAUACUGGCAGGCUUGAAUCCGGGAGAGGGAUGCGGAAUUCCAGGUGUAGGCGGUGAAAUGCGUAGAUAUCUGGAGGAACACCGGUGGCGAAGGCGGCAUCCUGGACCGGCAUUGACGCUGAGGCG
rnacentral:rRNA from 1 species